rnacentral:lncRNA from 1 species
GCUGCCUCUGAAUCUGUUGAAUGGUUUGAAGCCUCCCCUGCAUUUUGUUCCCGAGACUGAGGAACAGAGUCGUCUGAGAUGGUGGAGAUCUCAGACAACCCGACUGAAGAGCACAGCCCUUGUGCUUCCUCCCGGGCUCCACCCCCAGGACCCCAAGCAAGGUUCUUGCUGCUUCACCUUGCACUUUUAUCUUCUGGAGAUGGCUUCCUUUCCAAAUCUUUUCUAAAAUGUUAGAAUUCAGACCACAGUUCCUGAGCUUUGGAUGCAAACUCCUUGGCCCUGAAUCCCUGGAAGCCCUCCCCUGUGGAUGGUAUCAGCCAUCACAGCAGGAUGUGCUUUAAGAAUCCAAAUGAAUUCAGUUAUACCACGUGGUGGGACUUUUAAACUUGAGCUGAGCUUACUCAUUUCUGGUCGGCUAUUAAUCCUAUAGCUAAAUGCUUCCCCUCCACCCACCUCUGUGAGUGUCCCCGAUCGAUCGCGCUGUCCCAGCUGGGCUGACCUUGUAUUCACCUCCUGGUCUUGAGUGUCUGUACCUCUUGGUGGAGGCAUUUGGAAGUGCACACACCUUGUCCACUACCUCAAACUGUGUCCUGAUGUUUUUAAAUUAAUGGCACACGUAGCCAUAA